GGGGUUGUGGCUCAGUGGUAGAGCAUUUGCCUAGCACGUUCGAGGCACUGGGUUCAAUCCCCAGCACCA
rfam:Ictidomys tridecemlineatus contig043671, whole genome shotgun sequence.